rnacentral:rRNA from 1 species
AUGGGCGCCGGCAUCAUUCUUCUCCCCAUUCCGCGUCGUCGUCGUUGGGGCUGCUCUAACCGUAUUGGGCACCUCCGCGCUGGCAUCAUUCUCCUCGCCACCAUUGUUGCGACUAGUGUCGUCGGUGCAUGUGUUGCAGCCUUGCAGGCCGCUGGCGUGGACGGUUGGCCGUUGGAGGUUAUGAUCGGGGGUGACAACGAGCAAAAGGAGAUUGGGAAAGAGAAGGCGGAGGAGAAGACAACGAGAUCAUGA